rnacentral:sRNA from 1 species
CAAGAGAAAAUUGGUGGAUUUCAAGUAAUCAAGCAAUCAAAGGCUCAGAAUACACUAUAGAUAGCUGAUCGCAUCGAGAACUACCAUUGGAAUUGCAUUUUUAAAAUUGUAGGUUCACAGUCCUCUUUACUUUUGAAUAUUCAGGGGUCCCACUUGUUACUGUAAAUUCAAUUUCAUACUCCAGUUAUCUGUACUACUAUAUAUAGGAAUUUAUUUUGCUUU